rnacentral:lncRNA from 1 species
CCAUCUUUUAUUUAAGUUUAGUUUGAAGUCAAUCUCAAUAGUAAAUUUAGGUUAAUCCGAUCCUUAUUUGAACGACACUCUACUUAUCACUAUAUUACUUGGACGAUAUUGUACACUUGCAAUUAUCAAUAACAAUAGGCUUAGGCUCGACGGUCUUCCUCACCACCUUGGAAGAAGUUAGAUCAAUGAUAAGCUUCUCGGCAGCAGACGAGCUCCCACAAGCAACAGAAUAAGUCAUUGGCUUCUCUCGAACGAAGGCUCACAAGCAGUUGAGGAACAUCUUUUCUUUCCACCCUCGUUGGUAGCCAGCUUUACAGCAGCGAUCGGGCGAGCCAACGUCUCAUCCUUUAUCCGCUUUAUCUCUUCCUUCGAAGGCAGACCAUAUUUCUCCCCACGAAGAGGGUUGAGCAGCUAGCGCCACUCAUGGUACUCAACAAGAAUGCCCAAGGCGACGUGCACUUUCUUCAUAUCUGCCGAAGUCCUUGGAGUUGAGCCAAACUCCGAAUCUACACAAAGUAAGAAAAACGAUCAAUAAAUUGAAGUCAUGGAGUAGGUCAACAAAAAUUUAAGCAGGACAAUAAUGAAGCAGUUCCCUUACCACUAAUAAAGGUAGUCGGGACACGCAUCUUAGGAGAAGAGUCAAACUCCCACUCUCCGCUCACCUCCAAGGUGUUUCUCGCCCAGUCAUGAUCACCUUUGCUAGAAGCAUCGAAUAGCCUAUGGCGAGAACUUAGCUGCCCCACACCCUCCUUGUGGCCGAUCUCAAAGAAAUACCAAAACUCAUUUAUGGUCAAGCCAAGAUCAAAGAACCUGCUUAAGUUCGAAAAUCCCACCACCCCAUUAACUGCAUUUGGAGAGCACUAAGCAAACGUGCAUUUCAUGGAGCAGAUCACCUCCUGGAAAAGACGCGGCAUGGGAAAAGUGAAUUCCAACACAAAGUAAUGGAAUUUGAUGGCUCUUUUCCUAGCAGAGGCAUUCUCUCCACAUGGUUCAUGGCCACUAUCAUCUCUCACCCAUUUGACGCGAACCCUAGACGGAAUCUCAUGCUUGUACGCCUCAAGAAAAUCCCUAAACAGCUCGUCGAAAUUGAUCUUCACAUGCGCAGCCUUGAAGUAACCCACCUUGCCAGAAGAACCACCUUGACGGUACAAAGGUGGAGGAUAUUCGUUAUUUUUGCGAUCAGAGGAAGACAUCUCAAAGUCUCUGCAAAAAAAAAAAGGAUGAAGGAAAUAUUCAUAAAGCACCUUGCACACAAAAAAUAAAAAAUAAAAAAUAAAAAAGAUGUGUGCAUAUAUAUAUGGCCCAACAGAAGCCGCGCGGACGCAGGCCAGUAGAAAUGGAGGCCCAUGCCCCUUUCCUUUCUCCUCCUCCACGCGCUAAGCACCCCA